AGCCUUUAUGUCAUCUAUUGCCAAUCUUACACAUGCAAGUAUCUGCACACCCGUGAAAACGCCCUUAACCCCUUGAUCAAGGAAAAGGAGCUGGUAUCAGGCUCAACUUUAAGCCCACGACACCUAGCCACGCCACGCCCACAAGGGUAUUCAGCAGUGAUAAACCUUGUUUAUAAGCGCAAGCUCGAAUCAGUUACGGCAAAGAGGGCCGGCAAAUCCGGUGCCAGCCGCCGCGGCUACACCGUUAGGCCCAAGUUGACACACGCCGGCGUUAAGCGUGAUUAGAGUGAUUACACUGAUUAGAGUUAAACCCAAACUUAGUCGUGAUACACUUGUUCCCGGGAAACCCAAAAACGAAAGUUACUCUAACCAAUCCACUUGACCCCACGACAGCUAGGACACAAACUGGGAUUAGGUACCCCACUAUGCCUAGCCGUAAAAUAUAUACUCACCCAACAAAUCGCCAGGGAAUUACGAGCCCAAGCUUAAAACCCAAAGGACUUGACGGUGUCCCACCCACCUAGAGGAGCCUGUUCUAUAAUCGAUUCCCCCCGAUAAACCUCACCACUUCUGGCCAACUCAGCCUGUAUACCUCCGUCGUAAGCUUACCAUGUGAACGAAACCAGUGAGCCAAAAGAUCCAACAUCAAUACGUCAGGUCAAGGUGCAGCUAACGAACUGGGAAGAAAUGGGCUACAAUUUCUACCAUAGAACAAACGAAAGGCUACAUGAAACAUAGUCACUGAAGGCGGAUUUAGCAGUAAAAAGAAAAUAGAGAGUUCUUUUUAACAAGGCGCUGGGACGCGUACACACCGCCCGUCACCCUCUUCGAAUGC
rnacentral:ncRNA from 1 species